GACGAACGCUGGCGGCGUGGAUUAGGCAUGCAAGUCGAACGGUAGGAUACCUUCGGGUAUCUGAGAGUGGCGAACGGGUGAGUAACACGUAGGUGAUCUACCCUCAAGAUUGGGACAACCCAGGGAAACUUGGGCUAAUACCGGAUGAAAGCAGCAGUGAUGUUGUUUGAAAGGUGGCGUAAGCUGCCGUUUGGGGAUGAGCCUGCGCUCUAUUAGUUAGUUGGCGGGGUAAAGGCCCACCAAGGCGAUGAUAGAUAGGCGGCCUUAACGGGUGGUCGCCCACACUGGGAUUGAGAUACGGCCCAGACUCCUACGGGAGGCAGCAGUCGAGAAUAGUCUACAAUGGCCGAAAGGCUGAUAGUGCGACGCCGCGUGAACGAAGAAGCCCUUCGGGGUGUAAAGUUCUUUUAUAUGUGAGCAGUGCUUUCUAUGUGAACAGCAUGGGGAGAGAGAUAUUAGCAUAUGAAUAAGCAACGGCUAACUCCGUG
rnacentral:rRNA from 1 species